rnacentral:snRNA from 1 species
GUGCUCGCUUUGGCAGCACACAUACUAAAAUUGGAACGAUACAGAGAAGAUUAGCAUGGUCCCUGCGCAAGGAGGACAUGCAAAUUCGUGAAGCAUUCCCUAUUUUG